UACGGAGGGUGCAAGCGUUAUCCGGAUUUAUUGGGUUUAAAGGGUGCGUAGGCGGCGAUUUAAGUCAGUGGUGAAAUCCUGCAGCUCAACUGUAGAACAGCCAUUGAAACUGAAUCACUUGAGUAAUCUUGAGGUAGGCGGAAUGUGUAGUGUAGCGGUGAAAUGCUUAGAUAUUACACAGAACACCGAUUGCGAAGGCAGCUUACUAAGGAUUUACUGACGCUGAUGCACGAAAGCGUGGGGAUCAAACAGG
rnacentral:rRNA from 1 species